GAGCUUGAGAAGGAAUCAGAUUCUGCAUAUAUUUCCAAGUUAACAUGAACAAGAUUUUCUGAAAGACUGCUAUGGAGUCUGAGAAAAAAGUGUCAAAGAUUGAGGACAUGAGGAGGAAAGAACUGACAGAGGAGAUGAAGAAAGGUGAUCAGGAAGAGCCAUCAAAGUGUUAUCCUGGAAUUCAAGUGAAGACAGUGUUUCAAAGUGGAAAUGAACAGUGUCCUGUAACCCUCAGGUGAGACUAGAGUCAGAAUGCAGGCUUUUCUCAUUUGAAAUCUAUUGAAUAAACAUCAGUAAAAGAAGCAAUCCAAGUUCUCAUGCCAAAUAUGUAUAUGUCCAAGACCAGGAUUUCUUCAUGUCUGAAUGUGGAUAUGGAGCCUAGAGUACUAGCAAGGUAAGUCCAGGUCCUUACCUCCACCUAAAAGUUCUGCCACCAAGGGACAUCUGCUCAUUAUCUUCUGUCCACACAUCAAAUGACUUCAAUGUGACCCCUGGAUGUUCUCCAAAGAGCUGAAAGGAAAUAAAUAUUCUUUCUUUAUCACCAAAUACUUCAACUGCAGAGUGGUUGUGCUACCAAGGCCUGAAACUUUGGAAAAACCUGCAUAACACAAAAUAUAUAUGCCACAGAGAGGAUCCAGAGAGCCCAUCUUCAGUCAGUUAUCUGUAUUUGCAUGUCAACUACAGCAUCAAGAAGCAUAGGCAUGGAUACUAAGGACCCCCUCUGUACACCAAAGCCAGUCCAAAGGACAGUGUGUCACUGUGAACUGUAAAUUCAUCUCUCUUCUUCAUCUUUUUUCUACCUACUUUAUGCUUUAUCUCUAAGUUGAGGCUGUUUAUGGCCUCAUCCUCAAUUACCUUGUCCCUC
rnacentral:lncRNA from 1 species